AACAACAUAUUGGAUGGAAAAAUGGUUGGGAAGGUAGGUGCCCAUUCUGUUCCUAUCUUUAGAAGUUAUUUAUACCUAUGCAAUACCUUCGCUCAGGUUAAAGAAUGGAAUACUAGUCUUGCAUCAAAUGCAUAUAUUUUACAUAUCCAUUUGAUGUUUAUCACCAGAAGUUAGUUCUACCUUGGCAGUACCUCUGCUCUACAUACCUCCUCGCUGGUUAAAGAAUGGAAUAUAAAUCUCAUAUCAAGUUGAUGUAAAAAUUUAGUUCAAUAAAUUAAGAAUUUGUAAACGUUAUCAAAAUUUUGAGUGGAGCAAUUGUUUUUCUGGUUUAGCAUGAGUAUGAAUCUGAUAUCAAUUGGAUGUACAAAGAUAGUUUACUACUUAAAGAACCUAUCAGUGAACCAACUGAUUAUAAAACAGUUUUUAAUGGGAAUAAAAACAAAUUUUCAAAAGAUUUCAAUUAGCUAUUUGUAUAUUCAAACACUUUAUUUACUGAGAGAAGAGACUAUAGAUUCAA
rnacentral:lncRNA from 1 species